UACGUAGGGUCCGAGCGUUGUCCGGAGUUACUGGGCGUAAAGCGCGCGCAGGCGGCGGUGCUGGCCCGGCGUGAAAGCCCCCGGCUCAACCGGGGAGGGUCGUCGGGGACCGCACCGCUUGAGGGCGGUAGGGGCCGGUGGAAUGCCUGGUGUAGUGGUGAAAUGCGUAGAGAUCAGGCGGAACACCCGUGGCGAAGGCGGCCAGCUGGGCCGUCCCUGACGCUGAGGCGCGAAGGCGUGGGGAGCGAACGGG
rnacentral:rRNA from 1 species